UACGGAGGAUCCAAGCGUUAUCCGGAUUCAUUGGGUUUAAAGGGUGCGUAGGCGGAAUGAUAAGUCAGUGGUGAAAGCCUGCAGCUUAACUGCAGAACUGCCAUUGAUACUGUCAAUCUUGAGUACAUUUGAUGAGGGCGGAAUGUGUCAUGUAGCGGUGAAAUGCUUAGAUAUGACACAGAACACCGAUUGCGAAGGCAGCUCUCAAAAACUGUAACUGACGCUGAGGCACGAAAGCGUGGGUAUCAAACAGG
rnacentral:rRNA from 1 species